rnacentral:rRNA from 1 species
CACUAUCGUUAACUGAAUACAUAGGUUAACGAGGCGAACCGGGGGAACUGAAACAUCUAAGUACCCCGAGGAAAAGAAAUCAACCGAGAUUCCCCCAGUAGCGGCGAGCGAACGGGGAGCAGCCCAGAGUCUGAAUCAGCUUGUGUGUUAGUGGAACGGUCUGGAAAGUCCGACGGUACAGGGUGAUAGUCCCGUACACCAAAAUGCACAGGCUGUGAACUCGAAGAGUAGGGCGGGACACGUGGUAUCCUGUCUGAAUAUGGGGGGACCAUCCUCCAAGGCUAAAUACUCCUGACUGACCGAUAGUGAACCAGUACCGUGAGGGAAAGGCGAAAAGAACCCCGGCGAGGGGAGUGAAAAAGAACCUGAAACCGUGUACGUACAAGCAGUGGGAGCACCUUCGGGUGUGACUGCGUACCUUUUGUAUAAUGGGUCAGCGACUUAUAUUCUGUAGCAAGGUUAACCGUAUAGGGGAGCCGCAGGGAAACCGAGUCUUAACUGGGCGUUAAGUUGCAGGGUAUAGACCCGAAACCCGGUGAUCUAGCCAUGGGCAGGUUGAAGGUUGGGUAACACUAACUGGAGGACCGAACCGACUAAUGUUGAAAAAUUAGCGGAUGACUUGUGGCUGGGGGUGAAAGGCCAAUCAAACCGGGAGAUAGCUGGUUCUCCCCGAAAGCUAUUUAGGUAGCGCCUCGUGAACUCAUCUUCGGGGGUAGAGCACUGUUUCGGCUAGGGGGUCAUCCCGACUUACCAACCCGAUGCAAACUACGAAUACCGAAGAAUGUUAUCACGGGAGACACACGGCGGGUGCUAACGUCCGUCGUGAAGAGGGAAACAACCCAGACCGCCAGCUAAGGUCCCAAAGUCAUGGUUAAGUGGGAAACGAUGUGGGAAGGCACAGACAGCCAGGAUGUUGGCUUAGAAGCAGCCAUCAUUUAAAGAAAGCGUAAUAGCUCACUGGUCGAGUCGGCCUGCGCGGAAGAUGUAACGGGGCUAAACCAUGCACCGAAGCUGCGGCAGCGACACUAUGUGUUGUUGGGUAGGGGAGCGUUCUGUAAGCCUGCGAAGGUGACCUGUGAGGGUUGCUGGAGGUAUCAGAAGUGCGAAUGCUGACAUAAGUAACGAUAAAGCGGGUGAAAAGCCCGCUCGCCGGAAGACCAAGGGUUCCUGUCCAACGUUAAUCGGGGCAGGGUGAGUCGACCCCUAAGGCGAGGCCGAAAGGCGUAGUCGAUGGGAAACAGGUUAAUAUUCCUGUACUUGGUGUUACUGCGAAGGGGGGACGGAGAAGGCUAUGUUAGCCGGGCGACGGUUGUCCCGGUUUAAGCAUGUAGGCUGGUUGUCCAGGCAAAUCCGGAUAAUCAAGGCUGAGGUGUGAUGACGAGGUACUACGGUGCUGAAGUAACAAAUGCCCUGCUUCCAGGAAAAGCCUCUAAGCAUCAGGUAACAUUAAAUCGUACCCCAAACCGACACAGGUGGUCAGGUAGAGAAUACCAAGGCGCUUGAGAGAACUCGGGUGAAGGAACUAGGCAAAAUGGUGCCGUAACUUCGGGAGAAGGCACGCUGGUGUGUAGGUGAAGUCCCUGCGGAUGGAGCUGAGACCAGUCGAAGAUACCAGCUGGCUGCAACUGUUUAUUAAAAACACAGCACUGUGCAAACACGAAAGUGGACGUAUACGGUGUGACGCCUGCCCGGUGCCGGAAGGUUAAUUGAUGGGGUUAUCCGUAAGGAGAAGCUCUUGAUCGAAGCCCCGGUAAACGGCGGCCGUAACUAUAACGGUCCUAAGGUAGCGAAAUUCCUUGUCGGGUAAGUUCCGACCUGCACGAAUGGCGUAAUGAUGGCCAGGCUGUCUCCACCCGAGACUCAGUGAAAUUGAACUCGCUGUGAAGAUGCAGUGUACCCGCGGCAAGACGGAAAGACCCCGUGAACCUUUACUAUAGCUUGACACUGAACAUUGAGCCUUGAUGUGUAGGAUAGGUGGGAGGCUUUGAAGCGUGGACGCCAGUCUGCGUGGAGCCAACCUUGAAAUACCACCCUUUAAUGUUUGAUGUUCUAACGUUGGCCCCUGACCGGGGUUGCGGACAGUGUCUGGUGGGUAGUUUGACUGGGGCGGUCUCCUCCCAAAGCGUAACGGAGGAGCACGAAGGUUAGCUAAUCCUGGUCGGACAUCAGGAGGUUAGUGCAAUGGCAUAAGCUAGCUUGACUGCGAGCGUGACGGCGCGAGCAGGUGCGAAAGCAGGUCAUAGUGAUCCGGUGGUUCUGAAUGGAAGGGCCAUCGCUCAACGGAUAAAAGGUACUCCGGGGAUAACAGGCUGAUACCGCCCAAGAGUUCAUAUCGACGGCGGUGUUUGGCACCUCGAUGUCGGCUCAUCACAUCCUGGGGCUGAAGUAGGUCCCAAGGGUAUGGCUGUUCGCCAUUUAAAGUGGUACGCGAGCUGGGUUUAGAACGUCGUGAGACAGUUCGGUCCCUAUCUGCCGUGGGCGCUGGAGAAUUGAGGGGGGCUGCUCCUAGUACGAGAGGACCGGAGUGGACGCAUCACUGGUGUUCGGGUUGUCAUGCCAAUGGCACUGCCCGGUAGCUAAAUGCGGAAGAGAUAAGUGCUGAAAGCAUCUAAGCACGAAACUUGCCCCGAGAUGAGUUCUCCCUGAGACUUUAAGUCUCCUGAAGGAACGUUGAAGACGACGACGUUGAUAGGCCGGGUGUGUAAGCGCAGCGAUGCGUUGAGCUAACCGGUACUAAUGAACCGUGAGGCUUAACCUU